GAUGAAGAACGCAGCGAAAUGCGAUAAGUAAUGUGAAUUGCAGAAUUCAGUGAAUCAUCGAAUCUUUGAACGCACAUUGCGCCCGCCAGUAUUCUGGCGGGCAUGCCUGUCCGAGCGUCAUUUCAACCCUCGAACCCCUCCGGGGGGUCGGCGUUGGGGAUCGGCCCUGUCUCUUGGCGGUGGCCGUCUCCGAAAUACAGUGGCGGUCUCGCCGCAGCCUCUCCUGCGCAGUAGUUUGCACACUCGCAUCGGGAGCGCGGCGCGUCCACAGCCGUUAAACACCCAACUUCUGAAAUGUUGACCUCGGAUCAGGUAGGAAUACCCGCUGAACUUAAGCAUAUCAAUAAGCGGAGGA
rnacentral:misc_RNA from 1 species